UACAGAGGGUGCGAGCGUUAAUCGGAAUUACUGGGCGUAAAGCGUGCGUAGACGGUAGCGUAAGUCAGAUGUGAAAGCCCCGGGCUCAACCUGGGAAUUGCAUUUGAGACUGCUCUGCUCGGGUGCGGAAGAGGGAAGCGGAAUUUCCGGUGUAGCGGUGAAAUGCGUAGAUAUCGGGAGGAAUACCGAUGGCGAAGGCAGGUCUCUGGGCUGACACUGACGCUCAUGCACGAAAGCGUGGGGAGCAAACAGG
rnacentral:rRNA from 1 species